UCUGGUUGAUUCUGCCAGUAGUCAUAUGCUUGUCUCAAAGAUUAAGCCAUGCAUGUCUAAGUAUAAGCAAUUAUACAGCGAAACUGCGAAUGGCUCAUUAUAUAAGUUAUCGUUUAUUUGAUAGUACCUUACUACUUGGAUAACCGUGGUAAUUCUAGAGCUAAUACAUGCUAAAAAUCCCGACUUCGGAAGGGAUGUAUUUAUUAGAUUAAAAACCAAUGCCCUCUGGGCUCUUUGGUGAUUCAUGAUAACUUCUCGAAUCGCACGGCCUUGCGCCGGCGAUGGUUCAUUCAAAUUUCUUCCCUAUCAACUUUCGAUGUUUGGGUAUUGGCCAAACAUGGUUGCAACGGGUAACGGAGGGUUAGGGCUCGACCCCGGAGAGGGAGCCUGAGAAACGGCUACUACAUCCAAGGAAGGCAGCAGGCGCGCAAAUUACCCAAUCCCGACACGGGGAGGUAGUGACAAUAAAUACUGAUACAGGGCUCUUUUGGGUCUUGUAAUUGGAAUGAGUACAAUUUAAAUCCCUUAACGAGGAACAAUUGGAGGGCAAGUCUGGUGCCAGCAGCCGCGGUAAUUCCAGCUCCAAUAGCGUAUAUUAAAGUUGUUGUGGUUAAAAAGCUCGUAGUUGAACCUUGGGCCUGGCUGGCCGGUCCGCCUCACCGCGUGUACUGGUCCGGCCGGGCCUUUCCCUCUGUGGAACCUCAUGCCCUUCACUGGGUGUGACGGGGAAACAGGACUUUUACUUUGAAAAAAUUAGAGUGCUCCAGGCAGGCCUAUGCUCGAAUACAUUAGCAUGGAAUAAUAAAAUAGGACGUGUGGUUCUAUUUUGUUGGUUUCUAGGACCGCCGUAAUGAUUAAUAGGGACAGUCGGGGGCAUCAGUAUUCAAUUGUCAGAGGUGAAAUUCUUGGAUUUAUUGAAGACUAACUACUGCGAAAGCAUUUGCCAAGGAUGUUUUCAUUAAUCAGGAACGAAAGUUAGGGGAUCGAAGACGAUCAGAUACCGUCGUAGUCUUAACCAUAAACUAUGCCGACUAGGGAUCGGACGAUGUUAUUUUUUGACGCGUUCGGCACCUUACGAGAAAUCAAAGUGCUUGGGCUCCAGGGGGAGUAUGGU
rnacentral:rRNA from 1 species